CACAGAUGGUGACGGUGUGGAGAGACGGUGGUGUUUCCUCAGAAGAACUAGCAGAGUCAGAAAGGGCACGAGUCCAUCUCACCACCUUGACUUACUGACUGAUGCUCGUCUGCACUGCACAGAGGAAAUCAACUGACCGAGGAGUGUUUCUGAGUGAGGGAGAGAGGAGUCAUCAUCCAGGUAAAGUGACGUGGAUCAGUGGAUACACUUGUCUCCCCUUUAAAGAAGAUACUCUUAGAGAGAGACAAUCUGAGUCAUCAUAAAAUGUUAGUGCUUUCAAAUACACAAACAUUUUUAAAGGACAAAAUCGAACAUCCCACUUUGACUGUAAUACAAUUAAAUCUUUGCAUGUGUGUUUUCAAACUCUCAGAUGGGAAGGAUAUCAAUCUUGGACUGUCUAACCUGCCGGAGCAGCACUGAAUGAUCACCACACAUGAGCAUGUUCCUGCAACAUUCAGCAUCUGAUCUGCCAUCUGUGUGCUUCUGCUUUUGUGUCAAAUGUCAACCAGCUGGAGAGGAAACUACACCAGUGUACUGGGAUGUUUCAGCAACACGUGCCAGAUGCUGUUCCUUCAUGGUGACAUCACCAGAGACAGCCCCGCCCACCUCAGGACCUCGCCAUUGAUCAUGAUGAUUAUAAUGAUGACAGCGAGCGGAACUAAGACUGUAAAAAUCAGAAUGUUUAGAUGCUUUCUAAUUAUUAAUGAAUACUGAGAGCCUCUUUCUGUGUUUUGUCUGUUUUGGGUUGUUUUUUUUACCUCAUUUGUUACUAACAAAGUUCACCAAACUCACACAGUUUACAUUCUGUAUGUUUCCAUCUUUACCAGCCACACUCUAACUGCAAUUAAGCAAAUAAUCCUUAGAAAUCGUCGUUUUUCUCUUUUGUAAUUUUGUAAUUCAGUGAAUAUACUGCACUGCUUCCUUUUAUUGCGUCACACAUUGCUUUAAGUUUUUCAGUGUCCAGUUAUUUUUUUACUGCUGUUUGAAUUCUCUGUAUGUUUGACCCUGUAGACUGUUUAAUGGACUGCUUGUCUUCCUGUUUGUAACCGCUGCCUGUUUUUGACUAAAGAUUUGGAUUUCUGACUUUAA